CACGUAGGGUGCAAGCGUUGUCCGGAUUUAUUGGGCGUAAAGAGCGUGUAGGCGGCCAGGUAGGUCUGCUGUGAAAACUCGAGGCUCAACCUCGAGACGUCGGCGGAAACCAUCUGGCUAGAGUCCGGAAGAGGAGAGUGGAAUUCCCGGUGUAGCGGUGAAAUGCGCAGAGUAUCGGGAAGAACACCCGUGGCGAAGGCGGUUCUCUGGGACGGUACUGACGCUGAGACGCGAAAGCGUGGGGAGCGAACAGG
rnacentral:rRNA from 1 species